UGGCUCAGUGGUAGAGCACUUGCCUUGCAUGCAUGAGGCCCUAGGUUCGAUUCCUCAG
rnacentral:tRNA from 1 species